rnacentral:ncRNA from 2 species
CCCGGUUUUCGGGGCAGGGUGCGUCGAUCUGAUUCUUCGACAAUUCCCGACCGGCGGUUAAAGUCCGCGAGUUCUCGGCGAUAUUCGCUGAAAGAGAGCUGAACCGGUGAAAUUCCGGUACCGACGGUACAGUCCGGAUGGGAGAAAACCAGU